CUCUCAAUCAACAAAUGUACUCACUCCCUAGGUCUACUGCUGCUAACAACCGAAUAUGCACAAAAAUAUGCAGAAGCAUAGUAUGAGUACGGAACAACAUAUAUUCAGUAAGUAUCACUAACCUCGGUAAAGUAGUGACGAGGUAAAAGGCAUGUGAUACUCACUAAUCAAAGAACCUAUGCAUUUUAUCUAAAUAACUGGCAACAAGAAUAUAACAAGAUGUAAUGUCAUCAACUCAACUAAACAAGAGUUAUCAACUCAGCAUAGGUAAAUAAAUCAUGACAAUCGAAUCAUCGGUCAAUAACAGAGGCAUAGAGUAGCAUGUUAAAAUUAAAACAUAAAGGCAUAUUAAAUGCAUUAAAAGGCAUAAAGGAUUCACUUGCAUGGCCAAUCUUCCACCCUUACACUCAACUUACAACAUCCACCUCUACAUCAGAAUCAACAACAUUAGUCAAGGUAUCAUAAUCCGCGUGUACACCAUCAAGAGAGAAACAUAAGAGGGCGACCCUAGGGAUAUGGAUUCAUAUUCACACACUGCACGGCAAAUAUUCAUGCCAUAACAAUAAGCGCACCGCAAAGACCUCGUGCCACAACAUCAUCAUGCCAUAAUAUCCGCACGAAAAAGACCUCGUUCCAACACCAAAACAAUUCGCUCAACAUGCACAUCUGUGCCUAAAUUAUAACAAUCUAAGAUAAUAAUUUAUCAUCAAGGAGAUAUAUGCUCACAGGUCAUCAAUAAGGUGCACAAGAACAUAAUAAUAAUAGAAUGUGGAUGUGUGCUCAAGAUGUAAAAUAUGACUACGACUAAAUCAAUAUAGAAAUGAUUUCAAAAAUGUCCAUCUUGGCUAAUUGGGAUAUUUUAAUCCUAAAUCAUAAUUUCUAGCAUGGAAGGAUAAGCUCGCGUAGUCAUACAAAGGAUUACGCAUGUAUUAUAGAGAGCAUACAAUCAAAUUAAGGCAUAAUAGAAGCCUGGAGACUAAUUCGAUUAUUUUUCAUACACAGCACAAGUGUAUUCUCUCGUAACCUCGCAUAUAUGUUGCUUUACAUACGUGGCAAUUAGAUAAAUAAGGUCUAAUCCUAAGGGUUAUUCCCUCACACAAGAUUAGGCAAGAUACUUAUCUCAAAUGGACGAAAAUCAAUACUUCAAAAAUGCCUUACCCUUAGAAACCACCUUUGGCCUAGUCGAAUCUAGAUAAAAACAACCCAAUAACGUCAAACAAAGUCAUAGUAAUCAAUUCUACACAAUAAAGGUUCAAUCUUUAAUCAAAUCUCAGAAGUCAACAAAAUAUAACUCGGGCCCACAUGGUCAAAACUCGAGUCAAGAGGUAGAUCCGAACUACCCAUAAUUUCAUAAGUCCAAAUAUGUAAUUUGAUUCCAAAAUCAAGUCAAAAUCAUAGCUCAAAAUCCCAAUUUUCACUCUCUUAAGUUGUAGAAAAAACCACCAAAUUUCUUUCAAAAUUCCAUAUUUUGGAUGUUAAAAAUCCAUGUAUAUUCUUAAAUUACUAUCAAAAAUUAUAGAAAUCACUUACCCCAAAGUCUUGCGUGAAGAUCUCCAAGCCAAAUUUGUCUCUCCCAAGUAUAGGAUUGAAAAAUAUGAAAAAUGGCUAAAAUCUCGAAUUUCAUCACUUAAAUGCACUGCCCAGAGGUACCCUUCGCGAAUGCGGCACGUGCCUCGUGUUCGCGGAGCACAACAGCUUCUGGCCCAAAAAAUAUCCUUCGCGUUCGCAGAACCUCCCUCACGAACGCGGUGCAUAAAUCCUGCCUCCCUACGCGAUCGUGGCCAGGCCUUCGCGAAUGCGAAAGCAAAAUCUACAACUCCUAGUUCCCCCUCCACGAACGCGACACCCCAGUCCCGAUAGCGAAGAACAAAACUUGCACAGUACCAUAUCCUUCAUCGUGAACGCUAGGCUCCUCCAGCGAACGCGAUUAACACCAGACACCAGCAGAAUCAACCAACUCCAAACUUACUCCGGGUGGUUUGAAACUCACCCGAGCCAACCGAAGACCCUAACCAAUUAUACCAAUAAGUCCAUAAACACUGGACUUAUCGAAAGCCUCCAGAUACAUAUGAUAAUAUCACUUCAACGAAUCAAAGAUCAAAACAUAGUUCGAACUUCUCUUAAGUUUAAGAACUUCUAACUUCAAAUCAAGUGUUUGAUUCAAGCCUAACCUCUCUAAAUUACAACCAAACUUUGCAUACAAGUUCUAAAUGACAAACAAACAUAUCCUAAUUUUUGGAACAAUAAUCCAAACCUGAUACCAUCAAAGUCAACUCCCGGUCAAACUAGGAACUCUCCAAAUCUUCAAAUUGCCAACUUUCGGCAAAUACAACCAAAACAUCCUAGGAACCUCAAAAUCAAAUUCGGACAUACACCUAAGUCAAAAAUUACCAUACAAAUAUAUUGAAAAUAUCAAAUUACCAAUUUGAGGUUGUUAACACAAAAGUCAAACAUUGGUUUACUCUUUUAAUUUAAACUUCCAAUAAAGGAACUAAGUGUUCUAACUCACUCCAAAACCUUUUCGAAACCAAACCAACCAUCCCCGCAAGUCCCAAAAUAAUGAACAAGCAUACUAAAAAUAUCAAAUAGGGAAACGGGAGUCACAUACACAAAAUAAUCGGUCGGGUCGUUACAAUAAAAUAUAUAAUAAAAAAUUAAGACAUGUAUAUAAGAAGUUAAUAACAAAUGGAACUGUAGCUAUUAUAUAUGUGAGAUCAAGCAAGAAUCAAGCUGAUCCACUUACAAGAGCAUUACAGAAAGAUGCAGUACAAACACAUUAUGAAGGAAUGAGACUAAAACCCUUACACUGAACACAAGUAACUGAAACCCAACUUUGAAUUAGUAUACAUUUUAACAAUACAAGUUCACUGGAUAAUAACAAGUUACUUUGUAUUGUUAAAGCACGGACCUCCUUUAAAGGGUCUGAUUCAAGUGUAUUACAUAUUGUUACAUAAGGAGUUAAGGAGCUGUCGGAUGCUUAUUAUAACAGGGGAAUAAAGACAAAUUCUAUAGUACAAACCAUUACGAGAAAAGGUUGAUUUAAUUCCUAAUGGAGUUAGCAAGUGUCAGAAGUAACAGAGACACAAUGUCUAACUCUACCUAUUUGAAAGGGCUCAAUAGGUUUGGUGGGCCAAGCUUUAACGAAAGGCCCUAAAUUUAAAAAAAUUAAUAUUUAUUUUAUUUGAAAUUUAUUUUUUAGUAUUUUGAUAUGUAAAAUUAUACAUAAUUUUCUAAAUUACUAUUGAUAUGAAUGUUAAAGUUACUAGACUAUAUAAAUUAUUCAUAAUUUUUUUAAAUUACCAAUGCACUCAUUUCUCUUCUUGUAAUAAAUAAAAUUGGUUUAAAAUUUUAUUUAUUUUUCGAUCAUAUACACACCGUAGAAUUUAUUAGGUCUAUUUAUUGUGUAUUAUAUGCAACUGAUCAUGUAUGUACAUGUAUAUUCAAAUAUAUUUUGUCAUUGCCUGGUUAAUAUAGAGUUCGAUCGACUAACUUAAGAGUGCACAAUGUGUAGGCAUUUAAUUAAAGCAAAGUUGAAUUAGACAAUGUAAAGUCUCUGAGGAACUUCAACUUCAAUCAUUAAUACUUGCAAAAUCUCCAUACAUUUGGUGCAACGAAUUCAUUAAAAUUGGGAUGUAGUAAAUACUUUUAGAAUUUAGAAAAGGUAUCUAAUUUAGAUUUUUUAAUUUACUGUACUUUGUUUAUUCGGUUGUAUUAUUAAAUAUUUUUUUCUCCAAUUUGAAUGUCAAUUAUUUCAAAAAUAAUGGACCAAGAAGAACAACAAGUGAUUUAAAUAAAAGGAAUUUAGGAGAUUUUGGAUUACUUAACAGAUCAAGGAGUAUUUUUAAAAGUUUGCUGAUUAUAGGGAUAAAUUUGGCCCGAUAGUAUAACGGUAAGGGUAAAUUUGGCCCGAUAGUAUAACGGAGGUUAAAUAUAUACAAUAUAUGAAAGUAGAGGGUAUAUUUGGCCCUUUUCCCAUUUAACUAAGGGCCCUUUUGGACAUAAAAUUUGGUUGAAGUUUUUUCCAAAAGAAUUUCACUUUUUUCUGAAAUCAGCGUUUGUUCAUAAAAUUUUCAAUUUUCACUUGAAGAUACAUUUUGGAAAUUUUCGAAAAUUUGAAAAACUGCAAAAAGCUAUUUUUCAAAAUUUUCACUCAAAUCACUCACAAAACUUCAAAAACAACCCAAACUAAAAUUUAUGUCCAAACACAACUCUAAAUUUUAAAUAUCAUUUUCACUUGAAAAAAAAAUUCAUCAUUUUUUUUGAAUUUUACAAUUCUUAUGUCCAAACGCCUACUAAGUAUUCUAUUGUGGGUAAAAAUUGGGGCCCCUAAAAGAGUGAGGCCUAAAGCAAAUGAUUUAGUAGGUUCACCCGUCAGCCGGCCCUGCCUAUUUGAAUAUUAAAGUGGUGCCACUUCAAACAAGAUCUAGAGGGUUGAUCCUGUAAAUAUUUAUGAAGGCAGGAUUAGUAGCACUUGGCCAUCAAAGUACUAACUACUAAGUAUGAUUUGUCUAGCCGCUUUAAUAAUAUCAUAUGUGUGAUACUUUCAUUGUGGUAUAAUGAGUAACGAUUCAAAUCUAUGAAUACCACCAACUUCGUCGAACUUUAAAGUAUUUACGCUUAUAAAAAGUUCAAAUCUAUUUAAGCUACUUUCUGCUAUUCAUAAUAUUAUUACUGUACAAGCUAGUCGGGAUUGUUAGAAAGCUUGUACAGUGGGAGACAAAGUCCCUCAUUGAUUAACUUAAGUGUUAUUUGAGGAUAUUUACACCCUAUAGUAACAAUUUAACUUUGAGUAAUUCUGAAAGGAAUUUGUUUUUUUCCCCUAAAGAAUAUACAAGUAAAAUCUCUUUAAGGACAGGAAAUUUAUUCAUAUCUUAAAGUAUUCUCUUCUAAUUCUCUCUUCUUGUUUUCUAAUAUAUUAUGCAAUUAACUUUAUUUGCCUUUAUAUGUAUGUAAGCUAUUGCACAGACUUAUUUUUAUAAUCAUUUCUCGGGAUAAUGCAUGUACUUUUAAAAGGUGGUGCUUGUGCAUGAUUACGGUCUAAAAUUAUUAUAAAAUUUAAGUAAGAUUAAAAUUAAAGAACUUACAAGUAUAGAGCCACAUACUAAAUAUAUAAAUGUAAAAUGUUGCCCAUUAAUAAAAUUUUGUAGCAUUGCGCCAUAUAAAUAUUUUGCAUGUAAAUUUCAAUAUUUCCAACUUUGUUGAAUGGUAAGAUCAAAAAUCUCAUACCGCGUGAUGGGCAGCCAACAUCAUCUUGUCGAGCGAAUCACAAGCAUAAAAUCAAUAAAUUCAAUCCACAUGAUAUCAAUAUAAAAAGGGCAGGAACAUAAUAAACCAACACUGGAAAUUCAAUAUAACAUGAAUGUAACGAUCCGACCGGUUGUUUUGAGAAUUAAUGUCCCGUUCGGUGGCUUCACGUCUCGAGCAACUUGUAUUAUAUGUUAUGACGUGCGUGCGUGGCCGAGUUCGAUUUUCGGAUGACUCGGGAUUAAUUUGGAAGAAGGAUUCUUGUUUUAGAAACUUAAGCGGUAAGAGUUGACCGGAAUUUAACUUUUGUGUAGAAGACUCCGAAAUGGCGUUUUGAUGAUUCUAAUAACUUCUUAUGGUAUUUUUGGACAUAGACGUGCAUCCGGAUUUGGAUUUGGAGGUUCAUAGGGUAAUUUGAAGCAUUUCGGCAAAAAUUGAAAAAUUGAAGUUUUGGAAGGUUGAGAGGUUUAACCGAGAGUUGACCUUGGUGAUAUCGGAGUCGGAUUUCAAUUUCGAGAAUUGGAUUAGCUCUGUUGUAUCAUUUGGGACUUGCAUACAAAAUGUGACGUCGUUCCGGGUUGAUUUGAUAUGUUUCGGCGCGCGUUUUAGAAGUUGGAAGAUUUGAAAGUUCAUAUGUUUGAUUCGUGGUUUCGACGUUGUUGCUGUGAUUUGAGACCUUGAGCGGGUCCGUGUUAUGUUAUGAAACUUGUUGGUAUAUUUUGACGGGGUCCCGAGGGCCCCGGGCAUGUUUCGGAUGGGCAACGGGCCAUUAUCUUAUGUUUUGGAAUGCUGCAUUUCUGGUGUCUGGUGUCCUUCUCUGCAAUUGUGUACGUAAAGCCGCGAUCGCGAAGGCUAUUUGGUGGACCGAUCAUUUUUUCUCUUCGCGUUCGCAUGAUGUGGCCCGUAAUCGCGUACGUAUGUAUCCUCCGUCUUCGCGUUCGCACUCAUAGUUUCGCGUUCGCGUAGCACAGCCUUAGCAGUUGGUAUUUUUCUUCUCCUUCCCGAUCGCAUGUACUCGUUCGCGAUCGCGUAGUACACUUCUUGGGGAAGCAGUUGUCACACCUCCUUUUUUCCGAGGGGGAUAGGGGAUUUUUUUCAAUUAAAGUGACAUUAAUCGAAAUAGGAUUAUUUAUUUAAUCAGAGUCGCCACUUGAAAUGAUUUAUGGUGUCCCAAAUCACCGAUUUAUUUUAAAUCCCAAAUCGAAGAAAUUGACUCUUAUUUAUGGCCUGCGAAUACAGAAGACCGGGUAAGGAAUUCUGUUAACCCGGAAGAAGGUGUGAUGCACUCUCGAGUUCCGUGAUUUUAGCACGGUCGCUUAACAAUUAAUAUUUGGCCUAAUUAUCUGAUUUAUUUCAUGUUUUAAGACUUGUGUGCAUUUUUACCUUCGAACCGCUUUUAAAUAGAAUUUUAACUGCUUUUCAGGACUUAUGGCAUUUAAAUAAGUUGCGAUGUCGCGCACUUAUUGUUUUUGUAUACAUUGUGAAUCGCGUCACGUGAAAAGCACAGGGCGAUUUACAACAUGUUAAUUUUAAUUAUUAUUUGAAGUUCUGAUCGAGUCACGUAAAACGCACACUCGAAUGGGAUUUACGUAUCAUGACCAUGCUACGGGAACCGUACCCAUGGCCAUGAUGAUUUAUUAAUCACGCCUAAAGCAAGUUACGAUGUUCAUGAUUAUUUCUUUCUAAGUUUGGGAUGGAUGUGGAGGUCAUCAGUUAUGGAUUUAUUUUGUGCAAGAAUUAGCAUCGGUUCUGGUAAUGAUAUGAUCCAACUCUUCUUCAACAUACGCAUGUAUGAAACACAAACGUAUCUUAAAUGGUAUACAUGAAUACAAACCAACAUCAAAUUGAGUCUACAAAUCCAGCAUUUGCUUAUCUUAAAGAUGUGUUUAAAAUUAGCACAACCAAAGUCUUAUAUGACAUUACUGUAAUAAAUACCAAGAAAAAUGAUUCCAACUCAAUGUUCCUUCUGUUUUGCACACUCUCGUCUUCAACCACUGUAUUUGGAUUCAAGCUUUAACGAAUUAAUUGACUCUCUCAAUGAUUCAGAUGCGAUUCAUAAAAAUAUAUUUUUAUAGACUCAACUUAAAGCUCGUAGUAUUGAAAUUAUAGCUUUCUUACUGCUCGGAAUCUCUUUAUACUCAAUGUUUCAUGCAAACUUUAAUUUAAAAGAACAGGAGAACAAAUUCAAAUAUCAGUCAUUACAAUCCCUAAGUGGAACAACAUGUACCUAAUGAAACAAAAAUAGAAUUAUAUGUGAAUUUGUAUGAGACACAUGAUAAUUAUACACAUCAAUUCAUAUAAUAUAACGGCAGAUUAGAUGAAAUCAGUAAUCAACAAACACUAAGUAACAAACAUUUCAAUGAAAUUUCAGCAUGUAUGUGACAAAUUUGAGCGCACACUAAAUGAGAGAUUAAAGGAAUACCUAAAAUGAAAAAUCACAAUGAGAAUGCCGAUAGAGGCUAGAUGAUAAAUGUAAGGAACUCAGCAACGCAGAUCCCACAGAAUCAGUACACAGCAACCACCAAUUUGAGCUUUGAUAGCUUGCAGAAAUCCAGGAAGAAAAGAAAUUCAUCUUUGAACUCGUUUUUCUUCAAAUCUUCAUUGAAAAAUCCAGUUUUCUUUCUAUUAUUUCUAGCUUUUCAUUUUCAGAUCUAGUUUUGACAUUUUCCAAUGCAUCUAGACGGCUUAGGCACGUAUGUGAGAAUGAGGAGUAUUGUGUAGGGGAUUCGGUGAGAGAGCCGGAGAAGGAGGAGAGGCGGUUUUAAAAUGGGGGAAGGUCCUGAGAGAGAUUGAAGAUGGAACAGAGGGAGGGGUGUGCCGCUGCUUGUUGAAGUGAGGGGGGUCCGUUCUUUUCAGUGUUGAGAAUCAAAGGGGAGGGUGAAAUUAGGGUCUAUUUUAGAGAUGAAGAGGGAAUAUUGGGCUGGCGGGUAGUG
rnacentral:lncRNA from 1 species